AUUGACUUUAUAUGUAAAUACAAAUACACUGGGCGGUCUUACACAAAACCAGUCCACAUUAUCAUGGAAGAAGCCAACUUGUCAGUGUAACUGGGAUUCACGGAUGUGCUCCCUUCGGGGAACACAUAAUUUUACAUGCAGUGUGAACAAGAGUGUCUUGUUGUGUAACAAUGUCCAGUAUGAGACGUUCUAUGGAUAAGAUAUGCAUACAUCGAACUCGGAGGUAUGAAGUGAAAAGUUCGAGCUUUGACGAGAAUAUAACAAAAUGUGUGAUUCCCUGGACACAGAGUACGCGGGGACUUGGUACGAACAGAAGAGUUAUCCCACAGUCUGGUACAUGUCCUCCACGUCCUGUCUUUCUUCCUCCAUUACUAUCGUUGAUGACGGAUCUAUACAGAUGACCAGAAGCGGAGUCGACGGAUCAGGUAAAGAUUGUAUUGUCCUGGGGAUAGCAUGCAUUCCGGACAAAAAGAAACCGCUACUCAAGGUGUAAGUAAAAAUCCUCUACUCAAAGUAAAGAGUAUGGUUACUAACGGGACAGCGUGGAGAAAUGAACGCCAAGACUACCAAACGAGCCUACAAGACCAUGCGUACUUACGGGAUCAACAGCGAACCUCUCAUACCUACAUCGAAUGACCAAUGUUAAUUAGUGACUGCGGUCAAGGUCAAUGGAAAGGGUUAUUGCAAGUGAUAUGUGGUCAAGAACAAGACUCGUUUAUCCUGAUUGGAUCCUAUAUUGCUAACUGAUUUGUUUGAUUAACUUGUUUAACGCAUGUUGUCAUAUUCACACUGAUUGUGUCGACAAAAGGA